rnacentral:rRNA from 1 species
UACGGGGGGGGCAAGCGUUGUUCGGAAUUACUGGGCGUAAAGGGUUCGUAGGUGGCUUGUUAAGUCAGACGUGAAAUCCCCGGGCUCAACCCGGGAACUGCGUCCGAUACUGGCAGGCUUGAAUCCGGGAGAGGGAUGCGGAAUUCCAGGUGUAGCGGUGAAAUGCGUAGAUAUCUGGAGGAACACCGGUGGCGAAGGCGGCAUCCUGGACCGGCAUUGACGCUGAGGCGCGAAAGCCAGGGGAGCAAACGGG